rnacentral:lncRNA from 1 species
GUACCAGAUUUUGCAUAACUCCUCUUUCUUCUUGCCUUUUAUUUUCUUUUUAUUGGAUGAGAAGACUUUGAAAGACACAGAAAAACACAGAGAAUAACAUAAAUACCUGUGUAGCCACAUUCUAGGAGUAACAACUACAAGCAAAGUGGAUCAGCAAAGGCUGCAGUCACCAGCAUCUUUUCCAACCUUAAUGAACUGUAUCCUCAAAAGAACACUAUCAGACUGGUAAGACAAGCAUUAUUGUCCCACUUCACAGAUGAAGAGCUUGGGGGCCCUGUGGAUGUGUAGGAGAGUCGGCCUUCCUUUUUAUAGGCCUUUUGCUGAGCUCAGAGGACAGAGCAGAAGACAAAGCCGAAAGCAGCCCUAAGCAGACACUAUCCCAGCCCAAGGAGCUAUGCAGACAGCUCCUGCCUAGAGGAGAAACAAUUCUCUCCUUCAGCCAGGCAUGUGGCACAGAGGUGAACAGGAAAUGCUUAGGGAGACAGUUCACAGAUAUAUAUGUACUUCACAGGGCACAAUUUAAUCCAUAAAUCAAUCAUGGAUCACUGCUAAAGAAAACAAAAUAUGCUGCCACUAAUUUGCCACCACCCUGUGAGCAUGAUUGGAUGAUGUUUAUUUUGAUUAGGAGAUUGCUCCAUUUAUAAAUCUUCAAUACAUCCUGUCCCCCUAAAACGGCAUCUGGAUCUUUUGAGGGUUAAAAAAAAAAAAAGUGAAAUUGGAUGAGGGAUGAGAGCUGGACUUCUGUGUGUCCCGGGGUCUCUGGAUCCACAGCCUGGUGCCUAGCAUCAGUUAAGCCCACGCUGGGGUCGCAUCACAUCCCGCAAAGCCACGUGCUCUGUGAGGCCAACAGGAGCCCCGCCGGGUGGACCAGCUGGAAUCUCAGAGAGCGCCGACUCUGAAAAUACCCGGCUCUGCAGAAGCACGCUGGGCCCAGGGGGCUUCUAGACUGACAGCUCCAUUUAUCAACUACCUAUUGGUUUUAAAAAUUGGAGUGUCUUUUCCGCGUUGACUGAUUUUGGCUCUAAGAGAUGUCGCUGGUCAUUUCAGAGUGACUGAACCUCCCCUCUAACAGAUCCCGGGAAUUGUUUUCAGGAAAGGUAAAAGGCAGCCUUUUCUGUCACAACACAACGCUGAGCCGGCAGCCUGGCUCUGUCAGGAUCUGGGGCUCCAGCGCCCGAGAAGCCCAGCCUCGCCGGCGGCCAAGUUCACCGCGAGGCCACGCGCUGCCUGCGCUGCGCUCCCGGACCCGCACCGACCGCAGCGCGCGCCGCCGGUGCUUCUCCCACCCCAGCCUGGAAGCUGCCUCCCUCCGCCUAUCCCUGCAGGAUAAGAAGCCCGAGGAGGCGGAGCAUGGAACUCGACAGUUAAAACAUUUAAGAGAGAAAACCUAGUGUCUUGCUGGCCUGAAAUCGAGUACGCAGCCCGGGGUGAUCAGGGUCUCCCGGCCCGGAUGUGUGAGACUUGCUUCCCCUGGGCAAUAGGCGAUACGAUGCUUUAGGAGGAAGGUAUCUCUCCCUCCUAAGCCCCGGAGGGGAGAACUUCCAAAGACAGAAAACCACAGGGUUCCUGGCACAGAGCUUUCCCUUUAUCAGCUAAAGCAGAAUCUUUUCUGGCCUUAACCUGGCCCCUUCCUCUAACUGUAGGCAGAGAGGCAGACAGAAAAGCACUUGCUGAAACACAAAGUUUUGUUCUGUCCUCAACGAACUGUCUAGAGUUGAUUGCUGAUAGUCGUGGUGCAUUAUGCCUUCCUGGUUUUCAUUUAAUUGGGCACCACGCUGCCUUUCAAGACGCCUUAAAGGAACCAACAACCAAAUCCAAGAGAGCUGGACAGACCAUUGAACACACAGUAGGCUGUGUCUCGUGGCUUUCGUUGUCUGGUGCCUCAAAGAAAACACCAGAAAGAUUGUUUCUAAGCUAGAGCCACCCCAGAUUGCUUAAAGUGCAAAGCUCACUGCUGUUGGGGGUACCCUUGUGAGACACUGGAAAGCUGGUUUUACCGUGGCCCUAUGAAGAGGAAGACUGAAAUUUAGACAGUAAUACCUUUACUAGGAUUGGAAAAGAUUUGGUUAAUGACAGCCCUGUUAUUUCUAAAACCCAUUAUCACUGUAUGAGAGAUUCCUUUGCGCUGCAUCCUCGACAGUGCUUCCUAAGAUGAGGAAACUGAAUCCCAGAAUGGUGGAGUGAUUUGACGAAUAUUGCAAAACUAUAAUGGGGAGAUGAGAUGGGGAUCCAAGUCUUGUGCCCCCAAAGACAGGGCACCAGGCAGCGUAGAGGUGGCCAGUACCAGAGCAACAGCCUAACAAUG